rnacentral:rRNA from 1 species
UACAGAGGGGGCAAGCGUUAUUCGGAAUUAUUGGGCGUAAAGGGCGCGUAGGCGGCUUGGCAAGUGGAUGGUGAAAUCCCUCGGCUUAACCGAGGAACUGCCGUCCAAACUGCUUCGCUUGAGACCGGGAGAGGUGAGUGGAAUUCCCAGUGUAGCGGUGAAGUGCGUAGAUAUUGGGAGGAACACCAGUGGCGAAGGCGGCUCACUGGACCGGUACUGACGCUGAUGCGCGAAAGCGUGGGGAGCAACGGGG